AGCGAACGCUGGCGGCAGGCUUAACACAUGCAAGUCGAGCGCCCCGCCAGGGGAGCGGCUGACGGGAGAGUAACACGUGGGAACAUACGUUUUGGUUCGGAACAACUGAGGGAAACUUCAGCUAAUACCGGAUAAGCCCUUACGGGGAAAGAUUUAUCGCCGAAAGAUUGGCCCGCGUCUGAUUAGCUAGUUGGUGAGGUAACGGCUCACCAAGGCGACGAUCAGUAGCUGGUCUGAGAGGAUGAUCAGCCUCACUGGGACUGAGACACGGCCCAGACUCCUACGGGAGGCAGCAGUGGGGAAUAUUGGACAAUGGGGGCAACCCUGAUCCAGCCAUGCCGCGUGAGUGAUGAAGGCCUUAGGGUUGUAAAGCUCUUUUGCCCGGGAAGAUAAUGACGGUACCGGGAGAAUAAGCCCCGGCUAACUUCGUG
rnacentral:rRNA from 1 species